rnacentral:rRNA from 1 species
AUUGAACGCUGGCGGCAUGCCUUACACAUGCAAGUCGAACGGCAGCACGGGUGCUUGCCCCUGGUGGCGAGUGGCGAACGGGUGAGUAAUACAUCGGAACAUGUCAUGUAGAGGGGGAUAGCCCGGCGAAAGCCGGAUUAAUACCGCAUACGAUCUAAGGAUGAAAGCGGGGGACCUACGGGCCUCGCGCUAUAGGGUUGGCCGAUGGCUGAUUAGCUAGUUGGUGGGGUAAAGGCCUACCAAGGCGACGAUCAGUAGCUGGUCUGAGAGGACGACCAGCCACACUGGGACUGAGACACGGCCCAGACUCCUACGGGAGGCAGCAGUGGGGAAUUUUGGACAAUGGGCGAAAGCCUGAUCCAGCAAUGCCGCGUGUGUGAAGAAGGCCUUCGGGUUGUAAAGCACUUUUGUCCGGAAAGAAAUCCUUGGCCCUAAUACGGUCGGGGGAUGACGGUACCGGAAGAAUAAGCACCGGCUAACUACGUG